rnacentral:piRNA from 3 species
GAUAGCUCAGUUGGUAGAGCGGAGG